UUUUUUUUUUUUUUUUUUUUUUUGACAAAGUCUCACUCUGUUGCCCAGACUGGAGUGCAGUGCAGUGGUGCAAUCUCAGCUGACUGCAAACUUCUCCCGGGUUCAAGCGAUUCUUGUGCCUCAGCCUCCGGAGUAGCUGGGACUACAGGAACACACCAUCACGCCUGGCUAAUUUUUUUGUAUUUUUAGUGGAGACAGCGUUUCACCAUGUUGGCCAGGCUGGUCUCAAAUUCCUGGCCUCAAGUGAUCCACCCACCUAGGCCUCCCAAAGUGCUGGGAUUACAGGAGCCUCCUGUUCUUUACCCGGCAGUCUGUUCAAACUCCAAUCCACUCAUCUCGCCCUGCUGAAAACUGUCCUGUGUCUCUUAAUGCACUCAGAGUAAAAUGCAGAGCCCUUUCCACAGCCCACAGCGUCCACCCUCCCCAGGGCUCCCCCAGUGACCCCUUCCCCUGGCAUUUGCUGGUUCUGAUUGAGGGACAGUGUUCCUGUGGCUUCACACACACACACACACACGCACACUCACCAUCAUUCUCUACUCCCCAGCUCUGCUUUAUUUGCCUUUAACACUGAUCAUCACAGAAUGCAUCCUACUUCCUUCUACCUGUCUCCCUCCAUGCAUGGAAGCUCCCUGAGGGCAGCGCUGAAACACUGCCUAACACAGAGCAGGAUCCCAAUCAAUAUUGGUGGAAGCCCAGACAAAAUAUCAGUUCAGGAAAUAUUUAUUGAAUGAAUGAGUGAAAACAAACCAACUCUCCAAGUUAGGAGUUAUUAUGGCGUGUCACAUGCAGAGAAUCAAUGCCUAACUUAGCAAGGGUUUCCCAGGAAUAAAUAUUAGGGUUAAAGGCCCAGGGCUGACAGCCAAUUUUCUGGGCUGGCGAUGUUCUCCCUGGCGGUAUUCUUUUCCAUCUUCAUAAUGUGAGAAAGCAUUGCUUUCCCACCAGGGACUGUGAUGCUGAGAUUCUAGGGUAGGUAUUGAGGUAGGAACACAACUCCAGAACCGCUGCAGAAACCAUCAGGAUAAAGCUAAAUCUGGUGAAACACAUCAGCAGUAUCUGGGAACAUGAUGUGUUAGUCUGUGCAAAGCAGGUGUUGCUGUGGUAACAAACGAACCCCCCAAUCUUGAUGGCUUAGUCAAAUAACAGUUUACCGCUCACUGACAGCACCAAUGCAAUGGGAAAAGGGUAGGGGUUCUUCUCCAUGCAGUCACUCAGAGACCCAGGCUCCAACCACGGUGGGGCUCUGCUAUGUUCAAAGCAUGGCUUUCAAGGUCCCUACAGAAAGGGAAGAAAGGGAAGGACCAUGCAUGGGAGAUAUUUUAUGGCCCAAGCCUAGAGUAGUGAACAUCCCUUCUGCCCACAUCCUAUUAGCCCUACCUACAUGGAGUUGGAAAUGUACUUUUCCUACAAGCCCAGAAGAGAAAUGAGAUGGUCUUAUGAGCAUAUAGCAUUGUCUGUGCCA
rnacentral:lncRNA from 1 species